GUUUCGUUUUUCCAAUGUUGUAAAAAUGAGUCCUUUAAUUGGUUCAUGAUUUUGUUUAUUGGAAUUCUUUCUUUUGAAGCAGUGGUGUCAGCUUGGUUGGUGAGGUCCAACACCAGCUGACUGAGAGGGCUCGUUUCUGGGCUCAGCUUGGUUGGUGAGGUCCAACACCAGCUGACUGAGAGGGCUCGUUUCUGGGCUCAGCUUGGUUGGUGAGGUCCAACACCAGCUGACUGAGAGGGCUCGUUUCUGGGCUCAGCUUGGUUGGUGAGGUCCAACACCAGCUGACUGAGAGGGCUCGUUUCUGGGCUCAGCUCCUGGGUUUGAAGUGCUUUAAAUUGCAGACUUGAAUUUGGACUUGAAUUUAGAUGUAGACAACAUUUUUAUGAUCUUUUCUGUAUUUUCA
ensembl:lncRNA